rnacentral:rRNA from 1 species
AACGAACGCUGGCGGCAUGCCUAACACAUGCAAGUCGAACGAGACCUUCGGGUCUAGUGGCGCACGGGUGCGUAACGCGUGGGAACCUGCCCUUAGGUUCGGAAUAACUCCCCGAAAGGGGUGCUAAUACCGGAUAAUGUCUUCGGACCAAAGAUUUAUCGCCUUUGGAUGGGCCCGCGUUGGAUUAGCUAGUUGGUAGGGUAAAAGCCUACCAAGGCGACGAUCCAUAGCUGGUCUGAGAGGAUGAUCAGCCACACUGGGACUGAGACACGGCCCAGACUCCUACGGGAGGCAGCAGUGGGGAAUAUUGGACAAUGGGCGAAAGCCUGAUCCAGCAAUGCCGCGUGAGUGAUGAAGGCCUUAGGGUUGUAAAGCUCUUUUACCCGGGAUGAUAAUGACAGUACCAGGAGAAUAAGCUCCGGCUAACUCCGU